rnacentral:rRNA from 1 species
UACGUAGGGGGCUAGCGUUGUCCGGAAUCAUUGGGCGUAAAGCGCGUGUAGGCGGCCCGGUAAGUCCGCUGUGAAAGUCGGGGGCUCAACCCUCGGAUGCCGGUGGAUACUGUCGGGCUCGAGUACGGAAGAGGCGAGUGGAAUUCCUGGUGUAGCGGUGAAAUGCGCAGAGAUCGGGAGGAACACCAGUGGCGAAGGCGGCCUUCUGGACCAGUACUGACGCUCAUGCACGAAAGCGUGGGGAGCAAACAGG